CGCAACACCACCAACCUCAAGGGGAGAGCGCAAGUUAACGACUGGGGCAGAAUGCAGUCAGAACCUAGAUCUCACCUGAGUUGAGGCACACCAACACCAAACCUGUGUACAUCAGAUACAUUUGUAUUCACAGAACUCAGUCUUGCAGUACCGAGUCUAUAUACAUCUGCGUACAAUCAUGCACAAGUGAAGAGAGGCUAAAUCGGACAAUGGGUGUUUCAUCAGGUUUGAUUUAUUUUUUGAGGUAAUAUCUCCUCUCUUUGAUGUAAUCUGCGUUGCUAUAAAGAGGUACAAACUGGUUCCCAGUUUAAAACGGUAUGAAUCUCAAUACCAAUUUUGUAGUGAAGACUUAAGGUCAACAUGUUUUUACUGUUAUGUUUAGUGGUGUAAUACUACUUAUCACAGAAAAACAUAUUUCUGGUUUCAUUUGCUUUUAUAUGUAUGUAUACAUUGCUGUUAUGCUUGAGUAGUUUUCUGCAUAUUGUGGACUUCAUGUUGUUCAGGUUAGAAAUGAAUUCCUUGCCUAUUAUAUGCUUGAACUGUUAAAUUGACAAUUUUGUAUAUAUCUCUCAAAACCAUGGUGGGAGUGAAAGUUAGAACUUUUGGAUUAUAAUAGCGUAACCUGGAAAUCUUGGUACGAUUUUAUUCUUCGUUUGUUCAUUGUAAUCCAUGUGUCUAAGAUUUCGUUUUGUUUGCUAGAUUGCUUUUAAUUCUUUUACGUUAACAUGUUUAAUUUAAUUUUAGAACAAAGCUUCAUGGUUCAAAAUGGCGAAUAUGAGUCUGUGGCACAAUGGUAGUGCAUCCGACAUCAAGUGAGAAGGUUGUAUAUUCAAUUCACACCAGAUUCAAUCCUCUAUAAUAACGUUUUGUUAUUGCAUCCUUUACCAUAACUUACAGUAAAAAAGUACUGAAUUUGCACAUAGAAAUGAUAUUGAUGAUUGAAUUGUGUCACACCAGAUGAAUAGCACCAACACAAUCUUCGGUAAACCCUUUCCACAUUUUUAAUUUUGAAGGCUUGUUGUUGGACAGUUUUUGUUAAACCCUUUUCAACAUUACGUCUAAUUUCAUGUCUUAGUCGUAGCUAAUUGUACAUCACUACUUGUCUAGUAUCUUGUUAUGCAUAACGUUGCUAUUGUUCUUUGAUUUUGGUUAUACGCCUCACUUGUUAUAUAUUGUGGUUAGCGGUAAAAUUUCCAUAAAGUUUGAUAUCUAGAAUUCAAGGGCUCAUUUGGCAAAGUAGGCAAAAGAAUGAAGAGAUACUUGUUUGGGACAAUUGGAGUUUGAUACUCAGAUUUUGACCAACACUAGGCUUUGGUCUAACAUUUGUCCAACGUUAGUCUUGAUACCUGGACUAGAUGUUGACUCACGCUGACCGUUAACGACCACACUUUAAUUAAUUUUAGGGAGUAAGAAUAUUUUAAAUUGUUGAGUUUACAAGUAUACCCUUAGUGUGGGUCCGGUAUCCAAGGGUUAAAAAGAAAAGAAAAAGAUUACAAUUUUGAUGUCUCCACUCUCUUCUCUUUUAUCUCCGGCUGUAGGGCUCAUUCCCAGAUAAAACUCUUCUCCUUCUUAUUUAGCUUUCUGCUAUUGCAUCUCUAUUCUUUAGAAUCUCCAGUAUAAUUUUUUUUCUUUCUUUUUAAUGAAAUCCACCACUUUGAACAUAUCAUGGUUUGGUUUAUCUAUUGUUGCAGAGGUAUAUAGUCAAGGUUUGAUUUUGAUGAAAGAAGAAGACAAACGGAGGUAAAAUGAUUUAUUAUUGGUGUUGCAGAGAAGAAUAUGAUUUGGAUAUGGUACAAUUUGAGUUUAGUCAGGAUUUUCUUUCUUUCUUUUUUAGAAUUGAUUUAGAUAUGAAAAUGGGUUUUGGUUAAUUUUUGGGUUUCAAUUCGGAUUCACGGUAGAAUAGAUUAGGGUGGUGUACAGAGAGAUUGAAGAACAGUUUCUUUGGAGAAUUUUUUCGAACAGUUAUUGAGCGUGAACUUGUGUUGGUAGAGAUAAGCUUCUCUUUCUUCUUCUAACCCUUGUUUAUCUCCUUCCAUGCAAUUAACUGCACAUCAAGACAAUCCCAGAUCGCUUACACCAUUCAACAUCAUAUUACAGUGACAAACCGCGUCAAUUUGUUAACUCCACUUCAAACGGCAGCAACAUUUCUUUUAUCUAAUCACUACCAUUCACAGCCAUCAUUGAUCCUUGUGUAACAACUCAAACAGACCCAUCCACAGAAGAAAACAUACUUCCCUCUUCUUGCGAUCAUCACCUCUAACAAUGGCAUCAACUACCUUGUCAUGUUUCACCUUGAACCCAUUCUGUUUGCUGUCUAAAUCAGUACAAUACCCAAUCUUCUAUUUCGAAAUUCCUUGCAAACCCUGGUCUUUAAGAGCUCGGAAUCAUUAUUAACGACGAUCGGAAAAAUGAUAGCAAAAAUAAUUCUUGUUGAUUAAAAUUGAUAGUAGUGGCGGAGGCCACAGUUUGGAGGAGGAGAAGGCGAAAGGAUGAGGGUUAUAUUGACGAGUACUCUGUAAAUAUUAGUAGAAUCAAGGGUAUAACUGUAAUCUUGUUUAUUUAUUUAAUUUAAUGGGUUUUUUGUUUUUAUUUAGUAAACAGAAAGCAAGAUUUAACUGGUCAA